rnacentral:tRNA from 1 species
CCGUACCCAACGGCAAAAGCGUACAAACAUUUCCGCUCAUAACGGAGAGGUCGAAGGUUCGAUUCCUUCCCCCCGGA